AACGAGCGCUGGCGGCAGGCUUAACACAUGCAAGUCGAGCGCCCCGCAAGGGGAGCGGCAGACGGGUGAGUAACACGUGGGGAUCUGCCCGAUGGUACGGAAUAACUCAGGGAAACUUUUGCUAAUACCGUAUGUGCCCGCAAGGGGAAAGAUUUAUCGCCAUCGGAUGAACCCGCGUCAGAUUAGCUAGUUGGUGUGGUAAAGGCGCACCAAGGCGACGAUCUGUAGCUGGUCUGAGAGUAUGAUCAGCCACAAUGGGACUGAGACACGGCCCAGACUCCUACGGGAGGCAGCAGUGGGGAAUAUUGGACAAUGGGCGCAAGCCUGAUCCAGCCAUGCCGCGUGAGUGAUGAAGGCCUUAGGGUUGUAAAGCUCUUUCGCCGACGAAGAUAAUGACGGUAGUCGGAGAAGAAGCCCCGGCUAACUUCUUGCCAGCCGCCGCCGUAAUAC
rnacentral:rRNA from 1 species